ACCCUUGGUUAUGUGUGCACUUCUUAGAGGGACUGCCGGUUCCUAGCCGAAGGAAGUUCGAGGCAAUAACAGGUCUGUGAUGCCCUUAGAUGUUCUGGGCCGCACGCGCGCUACACUGAUACGUUCAUCGAGCUUACAACCUUGGUCGGGAGGCCUGGGUAAUCUUUUCAAAGCGUAUCGUGCUGGGGAUAGAUUAUUGUAAUUAUUAAUCUUCAACGAGGAAUUCCUAGUAAGCGCGAGUCAUCAACUCGCACUGAUUACGUCCCUGCCCUUUGUACACACCGCCCGUCGCUGCUACCGAUUGAAUGCAUUAGUGAGUCUUGGGGAUCGUUUCUCUUGAGGGUAAAACUUCGGGUUAGAUGAGAACCAAUACAAACUUGCGCAUUUAGAGGAAGCAAAAGUCGUAACGAGGUUUCCGUAGGUGAACCUGCGGAAGGAUCAUUACAACGUAUCCACGUAUAAACCUUUGUGAACAUGUUUAACCGCGUAGUUGUGGUUGUCGCAAAGCUGUACACGAUUCGGAAAUAAAGUGUAUAGCCCGUUUCUCUCCUCGCAGAGAAAGGACACUACGGCUGUGUUUUUCCGUUACACUAUUAACCACUGUAACUUUCUAUGUACUUACGAAUUAAUGGCGAAAGCUAUUUCUUCGAUAAAUAUAAGAA
rnacentral:rRNA from 1 species